rnacentral:lncRNA from 1 species
GCAGAUGCUGUUGCUGCAAUUGUGGCUUAGUACUAGCGCUCGAAGAGGUAAUAUGGGUGUUACCUAGGAUCGAAGGGACAUUCCUCCCGCCAACAGGAGACGACUUCUGACUGGGCACUGAUGGUGAGUUCUUGGCCUGCUAAGAUGACAAAGAAGAUAUUUGGCCAGCUUUAUUUCCUGUGGAAGUCGAAGUAGUUGUCCUGGAGCUUCCACCAGCAUUUCUAGACAUUGAUGACGUUGUGGUUGUGGGAGAACCAACCAUUACAGGAGGAGAUGG